AGUGAACGCUGGCGGUAGGCCUAACACAUGCAAGUCGAACGGCAGCACAGUAAGAGCUUGCUCUUACGGGUGGCGAGUGGCGGACGGGUGAGGAAUACAUCGGACUCUACUUUUUCGUGGGGGAUAACGUAGGGAAACUUACGCUAAUACCGCAUACGACCUACGGGUGAAAGCAGGGGAUCUUCGGACCUUGCGCGAUUGAAUGAGCCGAUGUCGGAUUAGCUAGUUGGCGGGGUAAAGGCCCACCAAGGCGACGAUCCGUAGCUGGUCUGAGAGGAUGAUCAGCCACACUGGAACUGAGACACGGUCCAGACUCCUACGGGAGGCAGCAGUGGGGAAUAUUGGACAAUGGGCGCAAGCCUGAUCCAGCCACACCGCGUGGGUGAAGAAGGCCUUCGGGUUGUAAAGCCCUUUUGUUGGGAAAGAAAAGCAGCAGGUUAAUACCCCGCUGUUCUGACGGUACCCAAAGAAUAAGCACCGGCUAACUUCGUG
rnacentral:rRNA from 1 species